rnacentral:lncRNA from 1 species
UAGGGAGACUGAUCAACUACAAUGAAACCACACAAGAAAAAGUCUUGGGUUGAUGGUGCUGUUCUGUAUUUUUAUUAUGGUUGUGAUUACAUAACACUAUGUACUUAUCAGAAUUUAUAAAACUACACAAAAUCGGUAAAUUUUACAGUAGGUAAAAUUUUAAAAUUGCAUCUUCUUAGCAGUACCUGCUCUUUCAUAAGUUUUCUAGCUCCAUCUUCUUUUCCAUUUAUUCACUGAAAAAGUAAUUAUUAGUGGCUACAAGUUGCCAUACAUUGGAAUUAGAGAUAAACAUUAAAAAACAAGAUGAAAAUAUGUUUGCUUUCAUGGAGCUUACUAUCCACUCAGAGGAAAUAGGAGUUACGAAGGAAAAUGUAUAAUGUCGUCUGAUGAUACAGGGAUAUUAUAACCAAUUAAUGGAAAGAAACAUUUAAGACAACACCUUCCUCUAUGUUUACAUCAGGAUGCAUUUUUGUAAUUGAGGACUGGGGAUUCAAAGUGAACAUGAGUCACUGCCAUAAUGUUGCUUACAUACUAAUGGAGAAUGAAGACGAAAAGAUAACUAGAUGGAGUCUUCCUAUGUUGCCCAGUCUGAACUUGAACUCGUGAACUCAAGCAAUCAUCCUACCUCAGCCUUCCAAGCAGCUGGGAAUAAAAAAGUCCACCACCACGUCUCGCAGCAGGCCUCUGGACUUUCACUGAACCAUACCACUGACCUUCCUGGAUCUCCAACUUCCAGAUGGCAUAUUGUGGAAUUCCUCAGUCUCCAUAAUCAUGAACAAAGGGGAAGAAAAAAAAACUGCAAAGGAAACAAACACAAAUUCCUGUAAUUGCCCAUUGCCCAAGUUUAGACUACACUCCUACUUCAAAAAAAGCCCCAGGCACUUUCUUCAAAAGGCAUUCCAGAAG